rnacentral:ncRNA from 1 species
UUCCGACAAGAGCAAAACCAGGGCAAUCUGGUGACGCAAAGCUAUGGGUUCGCACUAUGCGGAUCGCCUGGCUACCGAA